UAAGUAUUAGCUCAGUUGGGAGAGCGCUGGACUGAAGAUUCAGAGGUCGUGGGUUCAAGCCCCACCUGCCCCA
rnacentral:tRNA from 1 species